GAGCUCUUUCCUGGGGGGAAGACAGUGCAUCAGGCCCUGCUGGUAGACCUCAGUGGACUCUCUGAGGCUGCUAUAAACCUGUCUGUUUUCUGCAGAAGGAAGUAACUUCUGCUUGGGAAGAGAGCAAAAAUCGGUAAACUUCUGUAUCAGUUGUAAAUCACCUGUAGGCUGGUUGGUAGCUGGAUGACUAAUGGGGGAGUUUUUAGCCCUGAAGCUACUGGAAGACUUUCUUGUGGUCACAGCCUAUGUAUCAACCUGAAAAUAAGGAUCGUUCAGGGCCCUGUGCUGUGCUCCCGGGUCAGCGAGUGCACUGAUGCAGCACUGCCUCCUCUGCCUUGCUUUCAGGGCAAACUGCACGUGCCACAGCUGGAGAGGUGAGGUCUGCUGUGCCAUGUAGCCUUUGAUUACAAGACCUUUACCGAAUACUGGAUCAAAAAAAUAUUUCCCGCCGAGUCUUCAUUUUCCAACUCUCUAUACUAAAGUGAUUUCCAGCCAUUGAUCUUUGGAUUC